GGUCCCGUAGCGCAGAGGCAGGCGCGCCGCCUUGCCAAGGCGGGUACGCCGGUUCGAAUCCGGCCGGGACCCCGA
rnacentral:tRNA from 2 species